AUGUUCCACCAUCGCCAUGGCUGUGGCUGUCCCCUCCUCAUCCUCCUCCUCCCGGGUUUCCCCUUUGAUGAAUCUUCGCUGCCGUGCGCAGAAGCGGCGGCCGCCGGUAGCCAUAGGGUCGUCCUCUACCCGCACUCGGAGAAGGUCUCGUCCAUCGUGAGCAGCAAGUACAGGACCGCCUUCCAUUUCCAGCCCCCCAAAAACUGGAUCAACGGACCUCUGUACUACAAGGGCUUGUACCAUCUCUUCUACCAGUACAACCCCGGCAGUGUGGUUCCGGGCAACAAGACCUGGGCCCACUCGGUCUCCACCGACCUCGUCAACUGGCUCAGGCUCGCGUCGGCAUUGGACCGGACCGAGCCCUACGAUGCCAGGGGCUGCUGGUCUGGCUCAGUCACUGUCCUCACCGAUGGCCGGCCAGCCAUCCUCUACACCGGCGCAGACGACGUGAAGAACCAAGCCCAAUGCAUCGCCUUCCCGAGUAACAGCUCCGACCCGUACCUCAGGGAAUGGACCAAGCCCAGCAGCAACCCGGUGAUCCGGCCGGAUGGGCCGGGUCUGACCCCAAAACAGUUCAGGGAUCCGACGACCGGCUGGACCGGACCGGAUGGGCAGUGGAGGAUAGCAGUUGGGGCCGAGCUGGACGGCUACAGUGCGGCACUCUUGUACAAGAGUGAGGACUUUGCGAGUUGGAGCAGGGUUGAUCACCCGCUCUACUCCUCCAACUCAUCCACCAUGUGGGAGUGCCCCGACUUCUUCGCGGCACUGCCUGGCAACACCAGCGGACUGGACCUCUCCGCGGCGGUCCCGAAUGGUGCCAAGCAUGUCCUCAAGAUGGGGAUGAGCCUAGAUUCCUGUGACAAAUACAUGGUUGGGGUAUAUGAUCUGGAAGGCGAUAAGUUUGUGCCAGAUAAUGUCAUGGACGAUAGGCGUCUGUAG
rnacentral:rRNA from 1 species